rnacentral:tRNA from 1 species
GGGGUUCAGUGGGUGGACCAUCUGCCUUGCAAGCAGAGGACUGGAGUUCAGAUCUCCAGCACCCA